rfam:Salmo salar isolate Sally breed double haploid chromosome ssa10, whole genome shotgun sequence.
GGAACUAAACUUUGUAAGUCGCUCUGGAUAAGAGCGUCUGCUAAAUGACUUAAA